CAAUAGCGUAUAUUAAAGUUGUUGCAGUUAAAAAGCUCGUAGUUGGAUUUCGGGGCAGCCUGGCUGGUCCGCCGCAAGGCGAGUACUGGUCAGCCGCCCUUCCUCUCGAAAGCCCCGACUGCUCUUUAUUGCAGUGGUCGGGUAGUUCGGGACGUUUACUUUGAAAAAAUUAGAGUGUUCAAGGCAGGCCUACGCCUGAAUACAUUAGCAUGGAAUAAUGGAAGAGGACCUCGGUCCUAUUUUGUUGGUUUCCAGGACCGAAGUAAUGAUUAAGAGGGACGGUUGGGGGCAUUCGUAUUUAAUUGUCAGAGGUGAAAUUCUCGGAUUUAUGAAAGACGAACAACUGCGAAAGCAUUUGCCAAGGAUGUUUUCAUUAA
rnacentral:rRNA from 1 species